rnacentral:tRNA from 1 species
GGAGAGGUGGCCGAGCGGCUGAAGGCGACGGUUUGCUAAACCGUUAUACGGAGUAUCACUCUGUAUCGGGGGUUCGAAUCCCCCCCUCUCCG